AAGAUAAUUUUUCAGCGGUUCAAUAAAUAAACAAACUAAAAUAAAAUUGAGUUAUUCAUACGUAAUAAGAAUUUUAUAAUUAAUUAAAAAUACAGAUAACUUACAUGUUUAAAAUUUAAGAAAGUUUUCACUAAUAGUUGCAUAUCUUAUCAAGCAAUUUAUAUUUAAUCACACACGUGAAUAAAAAUUUUCAACAAAAAUAUUUAUCUUCUCUAUUAAAUUUUAUAAAAAUAAUACUUAGAACAUUUUAUUUAAAAUUUUAAUUUUUUAAUAAGUAUAUUUUAAUAUACAUUUAGUUAUGGAUGUACCUUAGAGGAAGUGUAACCAUAGGAUUUUCAUAUUUUUAGGGGAUAUAAGCAUUUAAUUUUACUAUAUAUAGUUACACGAAGAUUUGAGAGUUUAAUAUGGUUGACAUCCAAGUCCAUAGAAAAAUUGAUUAUAUUAUAAUUAUUAUUAAACAAGUUUUACGUACAGUCAAAUUUUGUUCUGAUAUUUUUUUGUUGCUAUAGUGAAACAUCGUUAUAGAGGAUACGUAUUAUAACAUAACAUAAAAAUCGAUAAUGAGAAAAACUUGACUUUUAUAGUGAGUGGUUAUUGUAUAAGGAUGUUAUUAUAGAUAAGUCUGACUAUAUAAGUUUCAAUUAUAAUUAAAAAAAAUGGAAUUAUAUCCCACAAUUAUGUGCACGACUAAUUAUAUCAAAUUUAAACAACUAUAAUCUUUACUAACUUCAUUGUACAAUAAAUUAUUUAUAUUACUGAAUCAAAGAAUUAAGAAUUUAAUAUAAUUCGUAUACAGAAAGAGGAUCUUGUCUUUCAAAAAAUUGAGAAUUUAAUAUUGCUUGAUAAAUGAGUUUAUAAAAAAUUAAUUAGUAUAUAAUAAUUCAUAUCAAACUAAGUAGUACUUGUGAUUUUCUAAUAUAAUUUAAAAAAAUAUGUAAUUAUACAGUAACUUUGUGCUUGUAAUUAUUUAGAUUGAUCACUAAUUGUAUUCAAUUUGAAUAAGCAUAAUUGUUUUUAUAAAUCUAAUUAAACACUAAAAUACGAAUCUAAUAUAAUAAAAAUAGGAGUAUAUAACAAACUACUAAUAAUAUCAUAUAGUAUGCAAGAAACUUUAAAGAAAAAAUUAAUUUAGAAUAUCUUUAUUUUAUGCAAAUAAUUUAUUUUUUCUAUGUUACUUAACAUAAAUUAUAUAUUUAUUCUUUUUGUAUUUUCGUAGGUAGUGUUCUUACUUAUAACUGUUAGCACUUACAUUUCUUUGCAUUUACUGAAUUAAGAUGUAUUAAUUAAAAAAUAAAAGAAAGCAAAAUUAUAUUACAUAAGUAUAUAACAACAAGUAAAAGAAUGACAAACAGCAAUUGCAAUUGGCCCAAAGCAAAAUCACCAAAACCUAAACUACAUUCUGAUCUCUUCAGCCGCCAAUCCCACCCCCACAUCCCCUUCCCCACUUUCCCAAUUCUUUCUUCAACCAUGGUUACACUAAAAAAUGCGAGAACGACAGAGAAGAAGAGUGAGAGAGAACCCCAUAGCUUAUUUAUUCUUGAGCAGAAGAGGUAAGCCCGUAUCUUUAUAUUUUACGUUUGUGAAUUUUCUCAUACCUACUUGACAUGAAUUUUUGGUUUUAAUUUUGCGAAUUAUUCAGCAAUUUAAUAAUCUGCCCUAUUUUUGAUAUAUAGUGAGUGAAAAUUUGAAGAUUUUGAAGUGGUAAUUUUGGGAGGAGCCAUAGUUCAUGGACUGUAACAACAAAGCAACAUUACAAAAUUGGGAUGAAGAUCCUUUAAGAAGUUUAAAAAGUCUACAGGUUUUUUAAACUUCUUUUGUUGCUUUGUACUUUUCUCUUUUGUUAUCUGUUAAAAAAUCUUGUAAAAGAAUUAUCAUGAAAUAUUUCUUGUCUUAUUGAUAUUCUAUUAAUAUUUUUACUAAUCGAACUUGCAUCUUUGUAUUGAAGUUGAAACUCAAUUUUACCUGUUAAAUAUUCAAUGAACUCAUACAAUUGUCAAAUGUUGCCUUCUCCGACUAAAAUACAUCUUUUGGCCAAAAAGAAUUAAUCCAUUUCAGUUGAAAUUUUAGUCUAGUGCCAGACAGCAUGAUCCGCCUCCAAUUACAAAGUGAUUUGUAACUUAGAAAGCAUCAAUGAGACUCGGUUAAGAUUCUUCUUAGUCUUUGCAAGCAAUAUGUCUUUAGCUUCAUUAAUUUUUGAAGCAAUGUAGUGGCUACCUCUUGCAUAUGUGAUCAGUUAUUUUUUGCUUUGAGGCGUUAAAAUACUUUAUUCGUUGACAGGCAGAUUCGUGAAGUUAGAGCAGCAAUGACAAGUUAAGACUAAAGCUAAGGUGCAGUAGUCGGUGCUACUUAGGGAAGAGAGAAAGGCGAAGACGAUGCUACUUUGUGUCUCAAGCAAGAUGGUGUUGUAGAAGACUUACGUAUCGUUCAUUUUUUGAAAUUUACAAUUAUGUGCAACUUGAAACCUAUUGUGGAAUGUAAUUUUUUUUAAUUCUUAGCUACAUUGUAACAAUUCUUAUAUGUAUCUAUUUUGGAAUCUAAAAUAUUUGAAUUUUAGCUGCAGGAUAAAAUUCUUGUGACCAAUUAUUUGUGGCAAAUUCUUCAAUUAUAGCAAUAAAAAUUUAGAAUUUGGGGCUA
rnacentral:lncRNA from 1 species